rnacentral:lncRNA from 1 species
CUUUUUUUUUUUUUUUCUUUUUUUCUUUCCUUAUGAUACCAAACUAGGUAUUUUCAUCUAUGACCACAAUACUCUUCUAUAUUCACAUAUGGGAAUAUAAGCCUAAAUAUCAAAAUACUUUUCAUCUUCGAUACUUCUUGCAUUUCAUAAUUUCCUUUAUGUGUUCUAUCUACCCUGACUAAUACUACAUUCAAUAACUAUGAAAGAUUAAAUUACGAAUAUGAAUAAAAGCAGAAUUAAUUUUAAUAUUUCUUUUCUAAAUCUAAAUAUAUGUUACAGUUGCUCCCUCAUUUUAUAUUGUAUUGUUAUAAAGACACAGACUGCUAUUCAGAAAUUCUGUAUGUCUCAGAAAUAGAUAUUUGAUAUAUUAAUAGAUAGUAAAUAUAUAUUUGAAGAAUGGAAUAAUGGAAAAAUAUAUUUAUCCAGAUUGAUUGAAAAAGUUAACCUGCAACUUUAAAAAAAUGUAGUGAUGAGAACCAGAGGUGGUUCCAGAGUACUCAUUUCCAAUUAAUUUUUUUACUUGUUUUUAAAAAGCUUUCAGAAAAAGAAUGGUGGGGAGGGAGGGAAACAAACAAACAAAUAAAACAAAGAAUAAAAUAAAAUAACAAACUAAAAACCAACCCUUUUAUUUUCCCAGAGAAAGAGCUAUAACUAUUGAGAAUACUCUAAAAUGUUUCUUAUGUUAAAAAAGUAACAGAUGGUAUCUUCAUAACAUUCUUCUCCACCUUUCAUCCAUUUUUAUUGUGUCAACAACAUCCUUUCUCUUUCACACACUUGGUUACUGUCCUGCCCUUGUUGAAUUCCUUGUCACUUUUGUAUGAGAUGCUUGACUUUAUAAAAUUUCUGUUAAAAGAGAAAACAUACAUCUAUGUUUUAAUGGCUUACUCUUUCCUGCAGUGUAGGAUAUGUUUAGUUCCUUUUGUGCUUACUUUUAAUAAUUUUUUUAUGGAAACUGAUUUCUUAAGAAAUUCCUUUCUGCAUGAGUUUAUACUUACCUGAUGGAGCAUGCGGGGUGGAACAACGGAGUUUUUGUUCCUCGGCGGUUUGUGGAAACCAUCUUUUGUCCAUCACCCUAACACAAGGUUGGCAAGUAGAUAUGCACACAUGAACUGCAAAGCUCUCCAGUGUCUGACAGCACCAGCUUCACCUGAAGACUCUGCAGAAGCAUGGGCUGUGAUCCCACUGAAAAUGACAGUGAUGACUUCAUAUUUAUAUAUAUAUAUAUAUAUAAACAUACAAUAUAUAAUAUAUUAAUAUAUAAUAAUAUUUUACUUUCUUCAAACAACUGAUAUGGAAGGACUACAUAUUAAGUUUUUAUAUUGUGAAUAUUUCUUAAUAGAAUUUCUCCUACAUUCUUUUCCAUUUGACAGCAGCUUUUUCAGUCACUGCUUAGACUCACUACAGAGUACAUUUAAUAUUAAAAAACCAAAUAUUCCACCCACUCUGUCCUAUUUCUGAGCAAAAUAAGUGAAGAAAAUGGUGGUUUUACUGUAAAAAAGGUGCAGAAAACUCAGAAAAUCUUGUUUCAGAGGAAGUAGUUAAGCAGGAAAAGUAAAAAUACUUUAACACACAAGUUGUUUGUCACUGUAUUUAUGAGUAAUUCUUACAAAGUAAUGCAUUCAGAUAUUGUUUUUUACAAUCAAUCUUUUUUUAAAAAGUAAAAUGCAGACAAUUACUCUAUGUACUAGCUGUGGCUGGAGUGGAGUUAAUCAUCUUCCCAGCAGCCCCAUGUGGUGCUUUGCUUUGGAUUUGUGGCUAAACAGUGUUGAUAACAUUAAUGUUUGUAAUUUCCCCCCCCUGCACCCUACUUUCCCCACUGAGGGUAGGCUGGAGAUGGUUAAGAAGUUGAGAGCACAUACAGCUGGGACAGCUGACUCCUGCUGAAUGAAGUGAUAUAACACACCCUAUAAUGUCAUAUUCAGGAAUAAGACUGGACAGAGAAAUAAGGAGAGAGUUUAGGCCAUGGUGGCCCUUUUAAAGAAAUUGGAAGGGUAUCAGUCUGCAUGAGGUGGGGAGUGCUUGCCUUUGCAUCACUUGUUUUUUUUCUCUUUCCUUCUCUAAUGAUCUGUUUUUGUCUCAACUAAAUUUUUCUCAUGAUUACUCUUCUUGUUUUGUCCCCCAUCCCACUGGGGUUGUGGUGGUUGAGUGAGCAGCAGUGUGGGUGCUUAGCUAAGGGCUAACUCACAAUACUUUACCUACAUUUGGUAAUAUGAAGCUUCACUUUUAUGAAGUGGUAGAACUUGGUUCUCUCUAUGCAAGGAUCCAGAAAUGCACUAACUCCAAGUCUGAUUUUGAGGAUCUUAUCAAGUGUGUGAUGGGAAAUAAAAGCGAUUAGAUGUUUAAAGCCAGGAAUGUAUAAGUAUAUUCUUGAAUUUUGCCCUUACCAAAUGUAUUUCCAAGACAAUGCUGAAAGUGGGAUGCUUGUUACAGAAUCUUUUGUAAACUGCUUUAAUGAGUUCCAAAAUAUGCAUGCAUACAUAAAUAUGCAUGAGGAAAAUGAAUUUAAUUCUUUACAAAUGUGCUGCAUAUUUGCAUGGUCAUUAACAAAUGAGCUCUAGGCCAUGCAUUGAAACAGCCACAUAAACAACAGCAGCAAUAUGAUCAUUCUUUCCCCUGUUAUCUGGAAAAGGUGCACACUUCAAAAUCAUUAAAAUUUGUGUGUGAAUAAGGAACAUGGUGAUCAUUCUGAUUUCCAUAUAGCUUAGUAGAAGUAUGAGAUAUCUUCCUCCCAUGUAUAUAAAUGCACACAUAAACACAUUGUUUUCUAUUUAAAAUGAAAAGUGGUUUUAGCUGUAUAGAUGUUGUUUAAAAUAUUGGUAUUUACAGGAAACAGAAGAAAACCAACAUUUCCCUAUGAGAAAAAUAAAUUAUCUCAUAGCAGAAAAAUAAAUUAUUAAUCUCCUCUGCUGCUCCCCAACACCUCACCAAAAUUACUUCUUGAGCAAAUUUCUUUAAAUGAUACAUCUAUCUGUGUUCUCUGAUGAUUUCAGAGCUCAUGCACAAGAGGCUUAGAUAGGUGCAUUAGAACAGAAGCAGUAGAUAUGUAAAAAAUAAAACUACGUCUUAUUAUAGCUUAUAUUUAUAUUGGGAAAAAAUAAGAUAAAGGUGACAAUGUCGAUAUCACAAAUAAAAUAAUCUCUCUUGCAUUUUUUAAAUUUAAAGUUGUGGCCAUGAAACAUAUGAGAAAGUAUGCAAUAUAUUUUAAAUCACAGAUUAAUAACACAAAGUAAAAUAAAGGCAGUAACUUACAUUCUGCAGAUCUUGACCCUGCCAACAAGACUUGAAAAAGCUGGCAAAAAGGUUGUCCUCUUGUUGAAUUGUUUGGCUCAUGUUUUAUGCACAAGCAUGCUUUGCUUCCAGAUUUGGCAUGAAUGCUUUGCUUUCCUGUUUCCCUCAGGGACGAAUGCAUCCAGGGCAACAAAUAAAAAGGACAAAGUCCCACUUUCUGCUACACUUUAAGAUAAUCUUCAUGAUACAAACUGCUACCACAGAUCAGAAUCUUUCUUUAUACCUUCUGUGUCUUUUUUGUUUCAGGUGUUCAUCAAAAAUCCUUUUGCAAUAGUGUGGAAUGAUCAGUUGAUUUCAGGAGUGGUUAACUGUGAUCUGCACUGUGUUUGGGAACUAAUUAUAGAUUAUUUUCCUGGCCCUUUUCUGCAUAGCUGAUGUUUGGCUCUGUGUUCUGGCAUGUGGCUUUUGGAUGCACAGUGACUUGGUAGAAAUGGCUUUCUCAAUGUGCUUCUUCCUGAGUAAAUUUAAUCUGCUUUUUGCCUUUGUCCAUUACUUUCUCUUGGGAAGCACUGAUUUCGUGUCAUAAACCUUAAACAUUUCUGAUUUUGAUGGAGAUUUUGAACAACUUCACUGCAGACAUAUUUCAAUCCUCUUCUACAAUAUGCUCUGCUGCAAGCUUGCUCUUGACAGUCAAGCUCCCAUGUGAAGGAAACAAUAAUCCUAAAGUAUUCAUUCAGUGGUGUAGAUACAAAACAAAGUAUACAUGCUUUUUUAUAUGUGUUUUAUAUGUGUUUUCAGCCUGAUCUUUGAUAAAUGGAUUAUUUGAAUCCUGAACAGUUCUGUCAGAGAUGAAAUGCAGGAAAAACAGAGGUGAACUGCAGUGGUUUCUUUCCAGGUAGAUCAAUACUUUUUUGUUCACUGAAGCAGAAUGGAAUAAUUCAUACUGCUGUAUACUGCCAUAUGGCUACAGAUAAAAUGUUCCCCUUCUUUAAUGCAACAAAGCCCAUGGACCUAAGCUCUAAACUCUUUCUAAUCUUCUGCAUGUGUAUUAUAAAUGUAUGAACAGCUUUAAGGGUUUGAGUAUUAAUCUGUAGAAGCCAUUUAAAAUAAAUUAUAUGUAAUCCAUGGUUUGAAUAAUUAAAAAAACCACAAAAAUAUCUAUUCCACAACCUAAGUUAUACAUGCAGCAUAGUUCAAUCUUUAAUUUUUGCAGUGUGGGAUAGAAUUUUCAUGUUUCUUAAAUACAAUUCUUCCAAAUUUCCUUUCACAGGCAAUUUGUAAAUCUUCAGUGGCAUGCUUUCAAAUGCACGCAAUAUACCUGAAAUGUUGGAACAUUUUAAUGUUGGAACUUUUUAAAUGUUACUGAAAUCUCUUUUGGAAAUGUGUAUCAACAUACUUUGUUAAAUGACUAUUAAAUUACAAAUCCCAAAGGUCUGUUUUCUUACACAUUAUAAAAAUUAGCAAUUUACUAAUAGCUAUCAUGGUGUAUGAAAACAAUACACUGAUGAAAUGACUGAUGAAUGAAGUUACAUCUUCUUUUAAUACACAAAAUGUCUUAUAGGAUAAGCUACUUGAUCUUCAGAGUAGGUAUCCAAAUCUUAAGAAGAACCUGUAAACGAUUUCAUGCCACCACCCUGGUCCAGUCCCAGACUGCAGGUUUCAACAGGUCAGCAGGGGGCACAAUGAUAAAAGAUGAUAAACACAUGCACAAGACAGGAUUAAUCUGCUACUAGCUUAUAAAAAGAGAGAAAGAGAAAGCCUAAAGAAGCUUAGUCCACUUUUAACAAGAGUUCCCAUGUUUAGGAAGUCUGAACUUCUUCUGCCUUUGGGGUUGUUUAUAUACUUCUGCAAUCAGAGAUGUUGAGCAGUGCUCCUUUAAAGAAAUUUCCCCCAUAUCUUUCUGUUUUAGAGUAAGAUUUAGAUAAUUUUUUCUCCAAAAAUCCUUAAUGUUUUUAGUUUCCAGAAGAGUACAUUGAAUAGGCCACACUUAAAAUACACAGGGUCUUCUCUAAAAACUGCAAAAUAAGAAAUCUCACAGCACUAGUCCACUAUUUUGUUCUUCAGUGUAGAACUCUGCAUGUAUGCAACAUAUCACUGAUGUUAAUGAAUUGAUACUAUUUUGCAGAAUACAAAGGUCUAUCUCAGAAAACUGUACUGCAGACAUUGCUUUAGAGUACACAUAAUGCAUUGUCUUGAAGAAUUCCCCCAACAAAAACCCUGUUGGGAUGUCAGACAAAUAAAUUAUGAUGUUGAUCUUGAACUUUGCAAGCAAAAAAGAAAAUUUGUCUGUGGUGUUUUAGUGACCUGCUCUGCCUUAAAAUGUUAUUUAAUUUGCUUUUCUUUUGAAUGUGAAGUUCAAUGGUACUAACAUUAUCUGACUGCCCAUUUGUUUUGUACACAGGAGGUCUGGUGACAAAUAACAUUGCUAA